UGACAUCACUCCCUCUGAUUGAGGAAUGCUCUCCAGGUGCUGGCUUGGGUUCAGGUGUGGAGCAAGACAUACUUGACCACGCCAUCUCUUUCGGCUUCCUCUGCAAGGCACUUGAUCAUCUUGGAGAUCCCCAGUCCUGGCGGCACUCAUGCGCGCUACCACCACCAUGCUUGCUUGCAGGCAGGACACUCUUACAUUCUUGGAAUUCAUAUGUCUCCCUUUUGUGGACUGCAGCUCCCCCAUUCUGGCAGCACUCAUGCACCAUGCUUGACUUGAAAGUAUCUGACGGUCGGGGGCGGCCGGUGGGAGGAGGCAAGAGAGUCAGCAGCUGCAGGAGGAACGACGCAAGCUCUCCGCUCAUGUCUACGGCUACGUUCCAUCUCCGCUGCACCCACGAGAACGCAAACACACACCACGAUGCCAGCCAAACGUCACAACUCCGGCAGUUACCAAAGGCAUACGGACUUUGAUGCCUUCGAUAACAGUUCCAACAUGCUCUGGCUGCCUAUCGCCAUCUCCGUGGAUGAUGUUUAUCCUCAUGACUGUGAGGGCGAUGUCCCUUUCUGCAUCCUCAGUGGCGGAGGCCUGAACAACGACACAAAAACA